AGUGAACGCUGGCGGUAGGCCUAACACAUGCAAGUCGAACGGCAGCACAGUAAGAGCUUGCUCUUACGGGUGGCGAGUGGCGGACGGGUGAGGAAUACAUCGGAAUCUACUUUUUCUUGGGGGAUAACGUAGGGAAACUUACGCUAAUACCGCAUACGGCCUACGGGUGAAAGCAGGGGAUCUUCGGACCUUGCGCGAUUGAAUGAGCCGAUGUCGGAUUAGCUAGUUGGCGGGGUAAAGGCCCACCAAGGCGACGAUCCGUAGCUGGUCUGAGAGGAUGAUCAGCCACACUGGAACUGAGACACGGUCCAGACUCCUACGGGAGGCAGCAGUGGGGAAUAUUGGACAAUGGGCGCAAGCCUGAUCCAGCCAUACCGCGUGGGUGAAGAAGGCCUUCGGGUUGUAAAGCCCUUUUGUUGGGAAAGAAAAGCAGCAGGUUAAUACCCCGCUGUUCUGACGGUACCCAAAGAAUAAGCACCGGCUAACUUCGUG
rnacentral:rRNA from 1 species